UACGUAGGGGGCAAGCGUUGUCCGGAUUUAUUGGGCGUAAAGAGCGUGUAGGCGGUCAGGCAGGUCCGUUGUGAAAACUCGAGGCUCAACCUCGAGACGCCGAUGGAAACCAUCUGACUAGAGUCCGGAAGAGGAGAGUGGAAUUCCCGGUGUAGCGGUGAAAUGCGCAGAUAUCAGGAAGAACACCCGUGGCUAAGGCGGCUCUCUAGUACGGUACUGACGCUGAGACGCGAAAGCGUGGGGAGCGAACAGG
rnacentral:rRNA from 1 species